rnacentral:rRNA from 1 species
GACGAACCGAGCGAACGUUGUUCGGAAUCACUGGGCUUAAAGGGCGCGUAGGCGGGCUGUCCAGUCCGGGGUGAAAGCCCUCCGCUCAACGGGGGAAUGGCCUUGGAUACUGACGGUCUUGAGGAAGAUAGGGGCAGAUGGAACUCUCGGUGGAGCGGUGAAAUGCGUAGAUAUCGGGAGGAACGCCGGUGGCGAAAGCGAUCUGCUGGGUCUUUUCUGACGCUGAUGCGCGAAAGCCAGGGGAGCGAACGGG